rnacentral:rRNA from 1 species
CACAAGCGGUGGAUGAUGUGGUUAAUUCGAUGCAACGCGAAAACCUUACCACCUUUGACAUGUACGGAAUCCUUUAGAGAUAGAGGAGUGCUCGAAAGAGAGCCGUAACACAGGUGCUGCAUGGCUGUCGUCAGCUCGUGUCGUGAGAUGUUGGGUUAAGUCCCGCAACGAGCGCAACCCUUGUCAUUAGUUGCUACAUUCAGUUGGGCACUCUAAUGAGACUGCCGGUGACAAACCGGAGGAAGGUGGGGAUGACGUCAAGUCCUCAUGGCCCUUAUAGGUGGGGCUACACACGUCAUACAAUGGAUGGUACAAAGGGUCGCCAACCCGCGAGGGGGAGCCAAUCCCAUAAAGCCAUUCGUAGUCCGGAUCGCAGUCUGCAACUCGACUGCGUGAAGUCGGAAUCGCUAGUAAUCGUGGAUCAGAAUGUCACGGUGAAUACGUUCCCGGGUCUU